rnacentral:rRNA from 1 species
GAGUUUGAUCCUGGCUCAGAACGAACGCUGGCGGCGUGCUUAACACAUGCAAGUCAGGGAGAAAGUCUCUUCGGGGAUGAUUAAACCGGCGCACGGGUGAGUAACACGUGAGUGACCUGCCUUUUAGACUGGAACAACUUACCGAAAGGUGAGCUAAUGCCGGAUGAGUUAUAUAAGUGCAUGUUUAUAUAGGAAAAGUUGGGGAGACCUGACGCUGAAAGAUGGACUCGCGUCCCAUUAGCUAGUUGGUAGGGUAAUGGCCUACCAAGGCGACGAUGGGUAGCCGGCCUGAGAGGGUGGCCGGCCACACUGGGACUGAGACACGGCCCAGACUCCUACGGGAGGCAGCAGUGGGGAAUUUUGCGCAAUGCUCGUAAGAGUGACGCAGCGACGCCGCGUGAAUGACGAAGGCCUUCGGGUCGUAAAGUUCUUUCGACAGGGAAGAAAAUGCCUAUAAGUAACUGUGUAUGUAUUGACGGUACCUGUAUAAGCAGCCCCGGCUAACUCCGUGCCAGCAGCCGCGGUAAUACGGAGGGGGCGAGCGUUGUUCGGAGUGACUGGGCGUAAAGAGCACGUAGGCGGUGUUGUAAGUCAUUAGUCAAAGACUAGAGCUCAACUUUAGUAAGGCUAGUGAUACUAUAAUACUAGAGUAUCAGAGAGGAUUGCAGAAUUCCUGGUGUAGCGGUGAAAUGCGUAGAUAUCAGGAGGAAUACCGUUAGCGAA